UACGUAGGGUGCAAGCGUUGUCCGGAAUUAUUGGGCGUAAAGAGCUCGUAGGCGGUUUGUCGCGUCUGCUGUGAAAUCUGGGGGCUCAACCCCCAGCCUGCAGUGGGUACGGGCAGACUAGAGUGCGGUAGGGGAGAUUGGAAUUCCUGGUGUAGCGGUGGAAUGCGCAGAUAUCAGGAGGAACACCGAUGGCGAAGGCAGAUCUCUGGGCCGUAACUGACGCUGAGGAGCGAAAGCGUGGGGAGCAAACAGG
rnacentral:rRNA from 1 species